GACGAACGCUGGCGGCGUGCUUAACACAUGCAAGUCGAACGGAAAGGCCCUGCUUUUGUGGGGUGCUCGAGUGGCGAACGGGUGAGUAACACGGGAGUAUCCUGCCCUUGACUUUGGGAUAACUUCAGGCAACUGGGGCUACUACCGGAUAGGAGCUCCUGCUGCAUGGUGGGGGUUGGAACGUUUCGGCGGUUGGGGAUGGACUCGCGGCUUAUCAGCUUGUUGGUGGGGUAGUGGCAUACCCAGUCAUUGACGGGUAGCCGGCCUGAGAGGGUGACCGGGGACAUUGGGACUGAGAGACGGCCCAGACGCCUACGUGAGGCAGCAGUGGAGAAUAUUGCACAAUGGGCGGGAGUCUGAUGCAGCGGCGUCGCGUGCGGGAUGACGGCCUUCGUGGUGUAAACCGCUGUCGCCUGAGACGAAGCGGGAGUGACGGUAAUGGGUAAAGAAGCACCGGCUAACUACGUG
rnacentral:rRNA from 1 species